rnacentral:rRNA from 1 species
AGCGAACGCUGGCGGCAGGCCUAACACAUGCAAGUCGAACGAGACCUUCGGGUCUAGUGGCGGACGGGUGAGUAACACGUGGGAACGUGCCUUUAGGUUCGGAAUAACUCAGGGAAACUUGUGCUAAUACCGAAUGUGCCCUUCGGGGGAAAGAUUUAUCGCCUUUAGAGCGGCCCGCGUCUGAUUAGCUAGUUGGUGAGGUAAUGGCUCACCAAGGCUACGAUCAGUAGCUGGUCUGAGAGGAUGAUCAGCCACAUUGGGACUGAGACACGGCCCAAACUCCUACGGGAGGCAGCAGUGGGGAAUCUUGCGCAAUGGGCGAAAGCCUGACGCAGCCAUGCCGCGUGUAUGAUGAAGGUCUUAGGAUUGUAAAAUACUUUCACCGGUGAAGAUAAUGACUGUAGCCGGAGAAGAAGCCCCGGCUAACUUCGUGCCAGCAGCCGCCGUAAUAC